rnacentral:lncRNA from 1 species
GGAAACUAGAGUAGCUCCCUACAGUAUCCGCGUUCAGUCUGCAGCCGCCACGUCUCAGGUUAGGGGCUAGAGCUGAGAUCUCUGCUGUGAGUACACAGCUCCAAAGACCCAAAGCAUCUGGCUGAGCCCUGGUGACCUGUACAUGGCUGCCUCUGGAUUUGACUAUGACAGGGACACCACUGGAUGUCUGGUGUUAUCCAUGCCGGAUUGACAGUGUGUGUCUGUCCUUCUAGCAUCUCCAUUUUCACUCUCCAUUUCUCUCUUCCCCUUUGAAUGUACUCCAAAUGCACUUCCUGCCCAAAUGGUAUCUUUAGGUGAGUUUUCAAAGCAAUUCUUUGUUUUUCUUUGGUAAACAAUGCAGCGAUAUGCACCUUGAAUUUGGGGGCACGAAUUACAUUUCUUUUCUCAUCUAUAGCCUCAGGUGGAUGCUUUUGUACAGAAUGCAGCCUCUGCAGUUAUGCAUGGCAAUCCUGAGUUUUGAUCCUCAGCCUGGUAGACCAGCUCAGAAAAUGAGAGACAAGAAAGAUGCAGGAAUCUCUCAGUAACAGUAACAUUGGACAAGGAUUAUUUGUGUCCCAAAAAGUCUUAUAGUAAGAGAUGGUGAACUCUUUGAUCCUAUAUAAGAAAAAAAGGAAACUACUUGAUCUGUUUAACUUCAGAAGGAAGACUCUAACCUCCACUUUUCAUGUCAUCGGUGGUGUACUUCCAUCCAUCCUGAAGACUUUGAGAUAUUGGUGUAAUUCUUGCCACUGUUGGGGAUUUCCAUUGUUCUUGAUCCCAUCUUCUUGAACAUCCUCCUUCUGGUAAUUUUUGUCUUAUAUUCUGAUAUAGGUGCUGUGGUGGUCUGAAUGAGAUGCUCCCCAUUGUCUUGGGUACUUGAAUUC